AUUCUUUGUUCCUCACAUGACAGAUCGGGUACUUGGUCAAAACAUCUCUGGCAGUGCUGGAGUCCUUUCAGUACCAAGCUGUGUUUCUGGAACUGUAAAACAGUCCUAGAUACCACACUGCAGCAUGGGAGACCUACUGAUGGUUACAGUUAAGGCAACAUAGGAUGAAGUGGAACAUCAGAACCCAAGAAUCUUUUCAUCUGCAAAUAAGAUACUGAAAGAAAAGACACUGGAUUCUGAUCUAUACUUACAUGCACAACACAGAGAGCACUCCAGACCUGAAGCAACAGUGAUCCUACACUAACACAAGCAAAUAACUUAAAACUUCCCUGAAUGAAUUGAAUCCAUUCUCUUGUGGAUGAUUAAUACGGAGAUUCCUAUUGGACUGCAGUGACUAUACCUCUGAAAAUGUCUGACAUAUUCUGUUGUUUCAUUUAACAUUUGUAGGUGAAUUUUCAGCUAAAGCAUACUCAUUUUAUUUAGAAGCUUUAGAAGACCUUGCUUUUUGGUGACUUCCUGCUAUUAGUAAUGUCAUGUAAUGGGACAUUUACCUGAUUCACUCUCUAUACUAGACUUAACUAGCCUUACUUCUGGACUGUGUUCUUCUUAAUCAUGUGCCUUUAAAUCAACAUGUAACUUGCACUGGGGGACAUUCAUAAAAACCAUCUUUCACAGAAAGUGUAUGAAGGAGCAAAGGAGAGCUGCAGUGUCCUGCAAAGACAUAAAAUAUAAAAUAUAAAUUGAAUUGCAUUAAGGACCCGUACAGAAUAAACCCAAAUUAAAAUAGACCCAGAGAUCUCUUGCUUAUUUGGCAGUUUAAUCUGGCAUAAGAUCCAGAACUGAUUGCUGAUCUAUUUCUUAGAAACGUGAUCUUCAAACUUCAUCUUAUGCACAGAGACCUUGGCAACACAGACAGGCAGUACAUCACUCCAGCUCUAUCUCUGCUGCAUUGGCCUCUGGUUCUGAAUUACAGCAUCUAUCACAUUCUGGCUUUUGCUUGCCAAGCUUUUAAAGGUGUGCUCUUGCUCACUGUACCUUAUGAACGGCUUUCCUUUCCAUCAUUGGGCCUGCUUUUGAAGUUUACUGAUAUCGACUUAUAAAAUAUUCUCUCUCUGCUUGCCUACCCCCUCUGACUACUGUGUAACUGAGACAUACAUGCAUAUCGCAAGUGUCAAGUCCCUGUUUGAAAGUGCUUUCUCUUGCUCAGGCAUACUGUGGAAACUUCUGGCCAUAAAUAUCUGAACCUCAUCUGCUUUUAAAACCAGACACAACAUACAUCCUUUUAAAACCAGACACAACAUACAUCCUUUGGUUAAGAUAUAUUUAUAAUUAAUAACAUGGUGUGGACUGGCAGAUUCUUCACUGAAAAGGCUGUAGACAUAAACUCCCUACGUGUAUAAAUGUAUACAUAUAUAUUUGGGAUAUGCUCUAUUCCUCUUUUCAGAUUUAAUGUCAUCAUAUAUCAAGUUUGUUUUUAAACUAUGCUCUGCUCUGAAUUUUUAUUUUAUAAUAAAAAGCUUAAUUUUGCACGUUGACAAGAACUGACCUCAGAGUCAUAUUUUCAGUCCUUAACAGCCUGAUCAUGAAAACAAUCCUGUAACUUUCCACUGAUUCUUUUUUGCAUAUUUUGUUGCAUGUUACUCCAAAUGUUGAAAAACCCAGAAAAUAAAUACUGUUGAC
ensembl:lncRNA